UGUCCCUGCCUUCCUCUGGUGCUGGGAAAUAAAGAAGAGCAAGGCUGUAUCUCAAUCUUACCAAGGGCUCUGAACACAUCCCGGGUCCCCCAGGGAAUUUAGGGAGACUCAGGUUUGGGAAUUUGGACCUAUGCUCCAGCUCAAGCAUUAACCUUGAGAUAGAGAGAGAGAAGCAGGAAUGUGACUGCUUGGACCUGGACAGCAAAAGGAAGUGCAAGGCUCUGAAACCCGUGUGCUCUAAAUACCCUCACUGAGAGAAGACUGAAACAAAAAGAUUAAAGCCAGUUGCUGCUCCUCAGAGUAGCUGGUUGUUGCUGGCAGGCUACAGGUCUUGCCUUGACGUCCGAUGAUGCUCGAGCCACCGCAAGUGACAUUAGCAGCCGUGUUACUAACGCGGGAGCUG